rnacentral:rRNA from 1 species
UACGUAGGGUGCGAGCGUUAAUCGGAAUUACUGGGCGUAAAGGGCGCGUAGGCGGCCCGCUAAGUCGAACGUGAAAUCCCCAGGCUUAACCUGGGAACUGCGUCCGAUACUGGCAGGCUUGAAUCCGGGAGAGGGAUGUGGAAUUCCAGGUGUAGCGGUGAAAUGCGUAGAUAUCUGGAGGAACACCGGUGGCGAAGGCGGCAUCCUGGACCGGCAUUGACGCUGAGGCGCGAAAGCUAGGGGAGCAAACGGG